CCCUGGGCCCUGGACAGGAUUGUUGUUUCACUUUCAGCCCCACACAUGCUUUGGGUUUAGAAGCUGAAGAGGACAUCCAUAACUGGAAUACUUUCUACAAGCCAUGCAGUCAGGACCUAGGAACAAGAUCAAGAUAAAGGACUUGGACCAAGAACCAGACCAAAUUAUUAGAACCAGGAUCAAGACUAAGACUGAUGACCAAGCAUCAGGACCAAGAAUCAGAACUGAGGACCAGGACCAAUGACCAAGGAUCAGAACUGAGGAACAACUGGGGACCAAGGAUCAGAACUGAGGACCAAGGAUCAGAAAUGAGGACCAAGGAUCAGACCGAAAGACCAAAACCAGGAUCAAGACUAGGACUCUUGACCAAGGAUCAUGACCAAAUACCAGGAUCAAGACCAGGACCGAUGACCAAGGACCAGGAUCAAUACCAGGACCAAGGAUCAGAACUUAGGACCUGGGAUUGGGAUCAAGGACCAGGACAUAGGAUCAGAACAGAGGACCAGGAUCAAGACCAGGACCAAGGAUCAGAACUGAACACCAAGAAACGGGACCAAGGAUCCAGAACCAGGACAGAGGAUUAGUACCUAGGAUCAGAACAGAGGACCAGGAUCAGGACCAGUACUGACAAUCAGGACAAAGUACCAGAGAAUGCAGAGGAGAUUGCUCAGGGAGACAAGCUAACUGAAGAUCAGCGAUAUGGCCAAGAAGGUCUGACUCAGCAGUACCAACCUCAGCGGGACCAAACCACUUAAAGAAGUGCAAGAUUGGGAUUCAGUAGCCCCUCUGCCACAUGGAAGACACCCAGCCUCAAGAGAAACACUGAGCAAACACCAAGAAGAGCACCGGCAGGAUGAUACCUCAUAGUAUUGGUUGGAAAUAUUGUCAUGUGAUAUGUAUUAUUAUAUUCAUUUACAGAGAGAGAGGUAAGGAGAGCACCUUGGGUUUAAGAGUUUGCUCUCAAAAGUUGUACAAGACCUAAAGAGAUAAAAGUCAUGAAACAUCACACUGCAAGCUUUUCACUUCUGAAAUUUAUCGCAAAUGUGUUUUUCAGGAGUUAAGAUGCCUGCACACCAAAUACUGUUUGCGUCUUCUGUUCAAAAGAGAUUGUUCACUCCAUUUCAAAAGAGGUUGUUUACACCAAUCAUUUGGUAUAAGGGACAUAUGUCUGGGAAGCAAAAUGAUUACCCAAACGGUUAUUAUGCACUCGUACUGUGAGUGAUGUUGAUACCUAUGGGGACAUGGAAUACACAGACUGUAUUUGGUAUACAGGGUGUCUAUACAUCAAUAGUCACAACAGUACAACUUUAUUCAGGAUUUGUAAACAAACCUGUGAUUAUAAAAAAAUAUAUUAGAUAUUCCCCUUGGGUGGUAUUCUGAAAUCCAUUUUAUCUCGGAUAUGAUAGAAUUUGUUAUCUCCGUUAAAAUCAGUGAGAUAAAGUACAUCAAAAAUCUCUCCGAAUUGGUAUUCUGAGAACAAUUUUGUCUUCAUGUUAUCUCUGUAGGACACACCUAUUUUUUAAUCAAUAACCAAUGAAAAACGUGCUUUUAUAGCUCUUUCAUCUCACCAAACCAAUGGAAAUCCAUUCCACCUGAAGGUGUGAGAUUGUGUCAAUUUAUUGACUUCAAAUAUGCUUGCGCGUCUUUAAAGAAAUUUCCUUUUAAAAAGUUGACAAUACUCAUGUUUUUUUCAAAGUCUAUAUCCUAUCCUUUCAAGCAUCAUUUCA